rnacentral:tRNA from 1 species
GGGGUUGUGGCUCAAUGGUAGAGUGCUCGCCUGGCACAUUGCGAGACCCUGGGUUCGAUCCUCAGCACCACA